UCCCUGGUGGUCCAGUGGUUAGGACUUGGCACGUUCACUGCCAAGGGCCCGGGUUCAAUCCCUGGUCAGGGAA